GACGAACGCUGGCGGCGUGCUUAACACAUGCAAGUCGAACGGAAAGGCCCUGCUUUUGUGGGGUGCUCGAGUGGCGAACGGGUGAGUAACACGUGAGUAACCUGCCCUUGACUUUGGGAUAACUUCAGGAAACUGGGGCUAAUACCGGAUAGGAGCUCCUGCUGCAUGGUGGGGGUUGGAAAGUUUCGGCGGUUGGGGAUGGACUCGCGGCUUAUCAGCUUGUUGGUGGGGUAGUGGCUUACCAAGGCUUUGACGGGUAGCCGGCCUGAGAGGGUGACCGGCCACAUUGGGACUGGGAUACGGCCCAGACUCCUACGGUAGGCAGCAGUGGGGAAUAUUGCACAAUGGGCGGAAGCCUGAUGCAGCAACGCCGCGUGCGGGAUGACGGCCUUCGGGUUGUAAACCGCUUUCGCCUGUGACGAAGCGUGAGUGACGGUAAUGGGUAAAGAAGCACCGGCUAACUACGUG
rnacentral:rRNA from 1 species